AGCUUUGCGCAGUGGCAGUAUCGUAGCCAAUGAGGUUUAUCCGAGGUGCGAUUAUUGCUAAUUAAAAAGGAAACAUUCUUGCCACUAUAUCAUGUGACAUAAAUAAGAGAUAAAGGCUAGAUAAAUAUACUACUAG
rnacentral:snRNA from 1 species